rnacentral:rRNA from 1 species
UACGGGGGGGGGCAAGCGUUGUUCGGAAUUACUGGGCGUAAAGGGCUCGUAGGCGGCCAACUAAGUCGGAUGUGAAAUCCCCAAGCUUAACUUGGGAACUGCAUCCGAUACUGGAUGGCUUGAAUCCGGGAGAGGGAUGCAGAAUUCCAGGUGUAGCGGUGAAAUGCGUAGAUAUCUGGAGGAAUACCGGUGGCGAAGGCGGCAUCCUGGACCGGCAUUGACGCUGAGGCGCGAAGGCGUGGGGAGCGAACGGG